rnacentral:lncRNA from 1 species
AACCUGUUAACCAUGUGAUGGAGAGGAGCUUUCUUGAUUGACUGGGAAGCCAAAUUUGAAUGAAUCCAAAAGGCAUUAACCAGUCAAAAUGAAUCUCUUGACCUGGUUCUUUUUCUUUUCAGCUGGAGUUGAAGAAGGAUGAGCUUCUGGAUGGAGGACAAAUGACCCUGCCAUUGCUUCCAUCUCUUUUGUGACAAUUCUUUCCUGUUUAUUUGUUUAAGUGAAAGAGACUUAGGAAAGUGGUGCUCCGAGCUCUAUAUCCAAGGCUUGACUCCCUUUCCUCGAAAUCCUGGUGACAUAAGGACCACACACGAAACCACUUUCAAAGGGAUCGACUGAUUCUGACCAUAGCUGAAGCAUUACUAAAUGGUUACAGAAAACAUCUUGGAUUUCUUUCUAUGUGAUGCUGAUUUUGUGAGUCAGACCAAAAAACGGUAGCUGAUAAUUUUGGAAAAUUCAACAAAA